GCCGAUUUGUAUACCGAAUAAACCGCUCCCCAAUGUGUGAAUAUAUGAUCAACUUCAUCCACAAGCUCAAACACUUACCAGAGAAAUAUAUGAUGAACAGUGUUUUGGAAAACUUCACAAUUUUAUUGGUGGUAACAAACAGGGAUACACAAGAAACUCUACUCUGCAUGGCCUGUGUGUUUGAAGUUUCAAAUAGUGAACACGGAGCACAACAUCAUAUUUACAGGCUUGUAAAGGACUGAACAUGGUUAUUUAUAUAUAUAGAUAUCUGUAUAUACACACACACAUAUGUGCACACACACACUCUCUCUCCAUUAUCGAACGACUGACUGUAAACCUCACCACACAGGGUGGUGCCCUGGCCCCGAGGUCACCCCGACUUUUCUAAAUCUUGUUUGAGUGAAGUCAUUUUUUCAUGUGUUCAUACUAUCAUUGUAGCUGUGAAGUUCUGGUACAGUUGUAAAAAGAGAAAUUGAGUUGUUUCUCUAUGUUCUUCAGAUGUGCAGCCCACAAUUCCUCGGGAAAGGUGAACCUGAACAACCCAAGUCUCUCUCUGCAGAGCCCUGUUUCUAAUUGUGGUAGAAAAUAUUGAGACAGAGCAUUUGCCAUGGGACAUUUACAGCCUUUAUACAAAUGUAUUUAGUUCUCUUUUUUCCAACAUAAAAUUCUUGUUUUAAGAUACAAGUAAAAUUAAUCUUUAAAUAUAAAUGUAAAUUAGUACACAAAACUAAGAAUCUUUAGACUUAUCUUUGUAACUAAUUAGGGUGGAAGUUAUGAAAGAAUGUAAUUCACUAAAUUAUUUUUUAAAUGAAACCUUUUUUUUUCUUUUUGAAACCAAAUGUUAAACUAUAGCCUUAAGAAAUGCUUGGUAGAAGUGUCCUAAUGAGACAAAUUUGUACUUUUAUCCUCAAGGUUAACACUAAUCUCCUAAUCCAUUAAACUCUUGAACAGGUAUUACAAAGGAAGAAAACUUCACCCCUUAUCCUUAACAUAUAUAGUAUAUUUAAAAAAUAUAAAAUUGUAUUGUACUAAUGUGAUGAUGGAUUAUUU
rnacentral:lncRNA from 1 species